CCAAGGCGGCCUGCAAAUAGACGGUGGUUGUACGGCUCAGGAUGUGAAGGGGCGCAUCGCAAGUAGAGAAGAAAAAAGGAAAAAGAAAUGGCGGUUCUAGCUUUUGGAUUUUAUUCCUUCUUCCAUCAGUUGCAGAAUUAUCAGACUUUUUCCUUGC
rnacentral:ribozyme from 1 species